UGACUGCUCAGGAGCCCCCUGUUUGGCUGUUGCCAUGCCAGCACCAAACACCAAAGGAAAGCAUCCAAACCCAUCUCUCAUUUUCAUUAAGAUGCAAAUGAAGUUAUUCCCCUCAACACUGGGCUGUCUUUGGAAUCGGAUGGGCUAGUCAAACUGACAAGCAAACUGAAGAUGCAAAACAGGUUACAACAGUGCCAGAGGCUGAAAACAGCCUGCAGAGGGCCUGGACGCCAGCCUGAGGCUUACAGGGAGGACUCUUCCUUCAAAGCCCACCAAGGUGUCCUGGAGCACCACACCUGCAGUCUGAUCUUUCGUUAACACUUCCAGACAGUCGUCACCUCCCGCACUUACGGAUACCCCCAGACUGAAUACCAGCCAUCCAUCCGCCCUCCCACCCAUUCAACAUGAUCAAUGUAAUGAGAGAAGUGGUAUUACUAUCCCCACUUCACAGAUGAGAAAACUGAGGCAGACAGAGGUCAAGCACGUGACCUAAGUUCCCACAGCUGGGUUGAGCUGGGACUUGAACCAAGAAAGCCUGAGUCUGGAGUCCUCACCUUGAUCUCAAGACGCUGCCUCUUCAAGUGAUUUGGGAUCACUCCCCUCAAAUCUGGGAUCAUGGGAAUUAUGGCUAACUCUGCAAUCUUCAUUCCAAAGUCUCACACUAAAAAUUUACUUUGUAGCCAAAAAGUUACAUUAAAUAUUGUUGUAGUUUUGUUCGGAAUGUUGUUAAACAUUCACCAGGUUUGUCUGUUUCAGUUUUGGGUCAUUUCACAAUUCAAACCCAGAUUCCACUUAUCCUGUCUCAGUUGCUUAGCCCCCGAAGUAGAGACGCUCGGUUGGUUUUUCAGUGGACAUCAAGUCUCUGAUUUACACAU